GAUGAACGCUGGCGGCGUGCUUAACACAUGCAAGUCGAACGGAAAGACCAUGCUUUUGUGGGGUGCUCGAGUGGCGAACGGGUGAGUAACACGCGUGUAACCUGCCCUUGUCUGUGGGGUAACAUCAGGAAAAUGGGGCUAAUAUAGGAUAGGAGAUCCUGAAGCAUGGUGGGGAUUGGAGAGUGUCGGCGGUUGUGGAUGGACUCGCGGGUUAUCGGCUGGAUGGUGGGGUAGUGGCUUACCAAGUCUUUGACGGGUAGCCGACCUGGGAGGGUGGCCGGCGACCUUGCGACUGAGGUACGCCCCAGUCGCGUACGGUAGGCAACAGUGGGAAGUAUUGCACAGUGGGCGGGCGCCUGUUGCAGCGGCGCCGCGUGCGUAAUGCCGUCCUUCGGGGUAUAAACCGCUUUCGCCUUUGACGAAGCGUUAGUGACGGUAAUGGAUAAAGAAGCACCGGCUAACUACGUG
rnacentral:rRNA from 1 species